UUCCCGGGUCUUGUACACACCGCCCGUCACACCACGAGAGUUUGUAACACCCGAAGCCGGUGGAGUAACCAUUUGGAGCUAGCCGUCGAAGGUGGGACAAAUGAUUGGGGUGAAGUCGUAACAAGGUAGCCGUAUCGGAAGGUGCGGCUGGAUCACCUCCUUUCUAAGGA
rnacentral:rRNA from 1 species